UAUGCCCCGACAUAUUCAGACUUUCCUCAUAUCUGUGAGUCUCAUAGCUGCAUCAAAAGCAGGUGCACCACGUCGACACAAAACUGCGGCAAAACCAGAUGGCCCGAAUACAGGAAACCCUAUUGGAAACGCCAAUAUUUUUCACGAGUUCCUUGACACCAAUGAACCUAUCUGGACCACGUAUUCAAAUACCUCAUACCCUGCUUAUUGUACAAGGGAUGUAAAGCAAUUUAUAAACGACACUGUAAUUAUGCAAAGGGAAACUCUCGAAUACGAAUCGACCAGGUCUUCUGAAUUCAUUACCUGGAUAUUUUUAGGAAACGAUCGAAUAACAAGGCAUACUGG